AGAAGGCCUGUGCGCCCCUGCCUUUUUCUCCCCCUCACCUCUCUCUGGUUGGGCUAGCCUAGCACCGACCCCCUUUCUUUCCUUGUCGCCAGCACCCAACCCCCCAACCUUAUCUCCUUCCUCCGACAGAACACGGAUGCGGCUCCUCUCUCCUUCCCUGUGUGCGCCGCUGCCAGGGGAAGGCCACCCCCCGACACUUAUCUCGGUCCAAAAUCGUGCCUCCCCUCUCCUUAUCCUCUCACGCACCUGAGCUAUCCCUAGCCGAUCGGCUCCUGUGUCUCUUCCUCACCCGACUGAGCCACCUGGGCACGCUGCUCCCCUCAACUACGGGCGUCACACCGCACGCUCAAGCCGCUAUGUCCCUCUACCUCGCGCUGCACCCUGCGCCAAAGCCACCACUCUUUUGCUUGAUGGUCUCUUCCCCCUUAUCUUUAUCCGCGUAGAGUCCAUUUUCCCCUACGUGUUUAUCUCAUCUCUAGAUCUUCAAUCAAAUUUGGUUGGGAUCUCCUUUACCCCAAAUUCGAGCCGGGCCUAUAUCAUUAGGGGAGGCAUCAGUUGGGAGGGUGGAUAUCGAUUGGAGCUUGGCGAAGCCUUGCCACGAUGAGUUGUCUUCGCCGCACUGAGUCGCCGCUGUCACAGUGCUCCUGUUCCUUGCAAUCCUCGCCGAUGGAAAAGUUCACCAUCACUGCUCCUUGUGACUUAGAGACGAUCUCGAUAUGACGAUUGCCAGCGCAGCUUAAUUGGAGGUAGUCCGAUGAUGGGCAUAAUUAACCAGAGAGCUUCAUGAAGCCCUGGGAACCAAGACGAAGCAAUCGCCAGAUCCUAAGAGAUAGUCAGAUGGCAUGUGUGUUGUGGAGUUAAAAUGUAUAAUGAGAGAAAUUGUACUUUAUGAUUUCGACACGAAUGAAUAAAGUUUGCAUGUUUCUAAUUA